GACGGAGGAUGCAAGCGUUAUCCGGAAUUAUUGGGCGUAAAGCGUCCGCAGGUGGCCAUUCAAGUCUGUUGUCAAAGCGCGGGGCUUAACCCUGUAAAGGCAAUGGAAACUGAAUAGCUAGAGUAUGGUAGGGGUAGAGGGAAUUCCCGGUGUAGCGGUGAAAUGCGUAGAUAUCGGGAAGAACACCAGUGGCGAAAGCGCUCUGCUGGGCCAUAACUGACACUGAGGGACGAAAGCUAGGGGAGCGAAAGGG
rnacentral:rRNA from 1 species